rnacentral:rRNA from 1 species
AUUGAACGCUGGCGGCAGGCCUAACACAUGCAAGUCGAGCGAGCGGCGGACGGGUGAGUAACGCGUGAGUAACCUGCCUUAGAGAAGGGGAUAGCCUUUGGAAACGAAGAAUAAUACCAUAUACUCUAAGAUGGACUUGCGUCUGAUUAGUUAGUUGGUUGGGUAACGGCCCACCAAGACAGCGAUCAGCAGCCGGCUUGAGAGAGUGUACGGCAACAUUGGGACUGAGACGCGGCCCAGACUCUACGGGAGGCAGCAGUGGGGAAUUUUGCACAAUGGGGGAAACCCUGAUGCAGCGACGCCGCGUGAUUUAGAAGGCCUUCGGGUUGUAAAAAGCUUUUCGAUGGGAAGCAGUACCAUAGGAAUAAGGACCGGCUAAUUACGUGCCAGCAGCCGCGGUAAUAC